UCUUUAACGCUCAGCUUUCUUUAUAGUCCAACUCUCACAUCCGUACAUGACUACUGGAAAUAAUGGGAUUAACUGGUUCUUAUUUGGAAGACCUAAUGGGUUCACCCGUAAUGGCACUCAGCAUGACAUGGGGGGGGGUGGGCAGACCUGUGCUAUGACAGCUGGGACUAAGCCAGUGAGAUGUUUCUCUUAGAGCCAGGGCCCGCUCCUCCCAGGGGGUGACUCUGGGUUUGUGACCAGCAGGGGUGGCCUGUCUGUAUUGUAUUUGUGGUAUCUGGUGGAAGUGUCCCCGCUACAAACCUGACCCCAGCAAUAUCACAGAAGAGGGGCUGGCCAAGAUUGUCUGGGUCAUGCAGGGUGUGUUGGAGAGGAGUGCAUGGUCAGGCCCCCCCAAGAUGCCUGUUGUCUUGCUGUCUGUCUCUGCCCUGCCGGAGCAGUCCCUGCUGCACCUGCACCCCACUCACACGACUCACCUUCCUAGUACUUUCCCCAGACCCCAGCUGGUGAUUAUUCUUAUCAAAAGGGUUAUGAGGAGAGGGCCCCCCUACUGGUUUCCCUGGUAACUAAUGAGCCCACCUGAUGUCAAUUUUGGCUUUAAUGGGCACCCUCCCCCUCUCCUGAGGAGUGAGGCCUGCCACCAUGCCCUGCCUCCAAUCAGCCCACACGGUGGGGUGUUCCCCCAGGGCCUUGCUUCAGACAGAAGAGCUGCAACAAGUCCCUGUGAGGGUUCAGAAGGCAGCUCCUCAGCAGCCACACCCCUUCGAACAUGUACAUUGUUCCAUGUACAGUUCUCAUUGUUGCUUCUUGACCUGGUUCCUCAGGAGACAGUCUGCAGUAUUUAAGACCUGAGUUACCCAAACAGGAAUUGAACCAAAGCCUCCCUGCAUUGGAAGGCAGAGUCUUAACCACUGGACCACCGGACGUGUUCCUGCAAGCAGAAUGUAAGAAGGCUUCUGGUGAAUUCUAGACUGUCUCUGAGUAGUGUGUCCCUCAUCACAAAUACCUGGAGUGGGGGAGGAUCCAGAAAGCUGCCAUGCCCACAGAACUGCUUUUCUGUGCCUGCAACGAGUGCUGGACCAGUUCUACAAAGGAGGCCAGACAAGUGCUUACAAAUGAGGCACAAGGGCCCUUUCAUUGGUCGUGAAACUGGGCAAGUGAGGCCUUGCUGGCAUGUGGGAUGCAGCAGAACAGCUGCGAGGUCGCUUCAGUCGUGUCCGACUCUGUGAGACCCCAUAGACAGCAGCCCAUCAGGCUCCCCCAUCCCUAGGAUUCGCCACGCAAGAACACUGAAGUGGGUUGCCAUUUCCUUCUCCAAU